rnacentral:rRNA from 1 species
GGGUCAGUAGGUUGGUCGUGCCACCGGUACGUACUGGUCUCACUGAUUCCUCCUUCCUGAAGAACCGUAAUGCCAUUAAUUUGGUGUUGCGGGGAAAUAGGACUGUUACUUUGAAAAAAUUAGAGUGUUUAAAGCAAGCUAACGCUUGAAUACAUUAGCACGGAAUAAUGAAAUAGGACGAUCGAUCCUAUUUUGUUGGUUUCUAGGAUUGACGUA